rnacentral:rRNA from 1 species
AACGAACGCUGGCGGCGCGCCUAACACAUGCAAGUCGAACGAGAAUCCGGGGCAACCCGGUAGUAAAGUGGCAAACGGGUGAGGAAUACAUGGGUAACCUACCCUUGAGAAGGGAAUAACCCGCCGAAAGGUGAGCUAAUACCCUAUACGCUAUCUUUUUUUCGAAAAGGAUAGGAAAGCCGGGUCGAGGACCUGGUACUCAAGGAGGGGCUCAUGUCCUAUCAGCUUGUUGGUGGGGUAACGGCCUACCAAGGCUACGACGGGUAGCUGGUCUGAGAGGAUGAUCAGCCACACUGGCACUGAGACACGGCCCAGACUCCUACGGGAGGCAGCAGUAGGGAAUAUUGGACAAUGGGGGAACCCUGAUCCAGCCAUGCCGCGUGAGGGAAGAAGGUCCUCUGGAUUGUAAACCUCUUUUGGCAGGAAACAAACCUGCGCUAUACGCGCAGCUGAGGGUACCUGCAGAAUAAGCACCGGCUAACUCCGUGCCAGCAGCCGCGGUAAUGCUAGCA